rnacentral:misc_RNA from 1 species
GGAAGGAUCAUUACCAAAUUGUCAACACGAGUUGUUGCUGGUCCUCAAACAGGGGGACAUGUGCACGCUCUGUUUACACAUCCACCCACACCUGUGCACCCUCCAUAGUUCUGCAGCCUGGGGGCUCUGUCCCUCUGAUGUGGUCCUAUGUAUUUACACACACACGCUGUAGUAAAGUCUCAUGGAAUGCAUACCGCGUUUAACGCAAUAUAAUACAACUUUCAGCAACGGAUCUCUUGGCUCUCGCAUCGAUGAAGAACGCAGCGAAAUGCGAUAAGUAAUGUGAAUUGCAGAAUUCAGUGAAUCAUCGAAUCUUUGAACGCACCUUGCGCCCUUUGGCUAUUCCGAAGGGCAUGCCUGUUUGAGUAUCAUGAACACCUCAACUCUCAUGGCUUUGCCAUGACGAGCUUGGACUUUGGGGGUCUUGCUGGCUUGUAGUCGGCUCCUCUCAAAUGAAUUAGCUUGCCAGUGUUUGGUGGCAUCACAGGUGUGAUAAAUAAUCUGCGCUUGUGGUUUUCCACCGGGUAACCUUCAUCACUGAAGG